CAAAACAAUCCCGCACCUCAGAAUUACGGCUGAGAAAGAAGACCUUGAGUGCAGCACUGAGGUUUACACUUGCAUUUUCCUGCUCAAAUUUCAGGCCCAGUUACUUGGAUUAAGCUAAUGGUUUCCAUAAGUGCGUGUAACGUUUAUACAGCGCAGUUCAAAGCAAGGGCCUCAGCCCUCCGACCCAGAGGUCAGAAGUGGUCUUGCAGCUUUCAGAUCUGCCUUUGGAAUCCCCAAGGGAGUCUGCAGAUACUCCUGCCCACCAUCGAAGGGCUGGCCUUACCCUUUGGGAUUAGAACCCGUUCAUUUAGUUCAUUCAGCAAACAUCUAUCAGAUGUGCAAGCUCUGAGACGACACUAAGGACACAAAGACCUCCAGCCCAGGAUGAGAACAGACCCACAGAGAGAACCCUAAAACACUGUGGCAAGUGCAGUAAUAUGGCUGUGUACGGAGCACUCCCGCUCUGAGAGCAUGUGGAAUGGAAAGGGAGGCAUACAGGGGAAGGCUUCCUGGAGGAGGUGACGCUCAACCCAAGUCUGAAAGGAUAAAUGAACUGGUGAAGCUUCAAGCUCUAGCUUGAAGAAAACUAGACACAGUUAAUUGCCUUCAAGUCCCUGAGUGGCUCUGGAGUGGGAGAAGAAAUAAAUACAGUUGAUUUGACGCUCAAAAGCAGAGAUACAAAGGCAUGUUUCAACUCAGUGCAGAAAACAGCUGUCUCACGAUGUGCAUUCUUCAAAAAUGGAGUGGGCUAUGGGGCUAGGGAGUUCACUGUUACUGGAGCUAUUCAAGCAUAGGGGGCUACCACCUGCGAAGAGGUUGUAGAUGGGAGUUAGGAACCACGUGAGCAUCUCUGUAACAGUGACUUCUACCAUAGAAUAGGUUGGAUUAUUAUAACCUCAGCUGUUUGUGUCACGGGUCCCAUCCCCGUGCUUCGUAACCUCAUCUAGCACUUCGUCCUGUCCUUGCACACCAGAAGGAGAAACUAUUACCUGGAAUUUGGGAAUAAGCAAGCCCUACACAAAUGCGAAGCAACCUCUCCGUGAAUGAGACCAUUCUCUUUCCAUGCAUGGUGCUGUGACUAAUAAUGAAGACUGAAGACUGUACAGAUUUGUGGGGAUAAAAGGGAAAAGACUUCAGUGACUGUCACUGGAAGCUCCUGAGGAACUAGACAAAGGGAUAAAGUGAGACGUAAACACGGUACUCCUAAGAGGAGACCAGCCAUGUGUGCGCUGGCCUAGACGAAGACGGGAAGUACCUCAGCCUGUGACUUCCUCUCCGUACCUGUCACUUUCUGCCUUUUAUAUCAUAAUCACAAGGAAUUCCUUUUGCAGGAAACAUGACUGGUUCAUUAUUAAUCCUCCUAAGUGCUGAGUUCUUCUCCGUCAGCACCUCAUGGUCCACCCACCUUCUCCUUCAAGUCUUGGCUCAAAUAUCAACGCAGUGAGACUCUGCUCUGACUACUGUAUUUAAAAUUCCUCCCCUUACUAUCCCUCUAUCUUACUUAAAUCACGCCAAGAUAAGUAAUCUUAUCCGCCUUACUUAUUAUUUAUUGACUCUCUCUCCCUGAUAAAGGAGGAGCCUGGAGAGAGCAGGCUUGCGGUCUGCGCUGUUCCCUGGGUAUCCCUGGAGCCUCCGACGGUGCCUGGCUCCUGGCAGUGAUGGGAAGAUCCAUGAGAAACAGCAGGCGGGCGGCACUGCAGGAUGAAUGGAAGGAGGGCGGGUCCGUGCUUGGACUCUGGCCCUCAGCCUCCCCUAAGAGUGCUCUGGAACCCAUCCCCGCCCCCACUGCAUCCACUGUGUACUGGCACAAGACAGACCUGGGGUUGGCAGAGAAGAGCCAUUUUGUUCAAAUGAUCAAGAAACCUUUUUCUUUUUUCUUGCUUGUGCUGAAGCAGAAGCAGAUACUAUUAAUGACUUCAAGCUUGUCAUUGAAAUGUCAUAAAUUCAGCUUGAGCCCUGGAACUGCUUUUAAAUAAGCUACUUCAGGUAAGAUGUCCAGUGCAUGCAUCGUUUAGCUUUAGACUGCCGACCUUCUCUUCCGUGCCAACAUUUUCUCAUGACUGCAUGUUGUCUCAGCUUCCUUCUACUCACUCUUUUCUUUAUCCCUCAGGAAAUACCUUCUGUCCAUUAUUUUCUACUGAACAUGCUUGUGAAGGUCCAGUAGUUCAUCCCCAAAUCCAGCAUGCCUAUUGGAUCCUAUCCUCUGGGACCUUUCUGUGACACAUGGCACUCCUGUGGUUCCAGCCUCUUCCUUGGCUCGCAGGAGACUGUUCUAGAGCUGCAUAUCUAAGUGUGGAUGAUUUUCCACCAUGAGGGUGGCUAGCAGCACGUCCAGUCUCCUCCCUGCCUCCAAAUCAGCUUCCUUCCCUCUUCCUUUCUGAAUUCUCCCAGCCGUCAGGCAUUAAAACUACAUCUUUGAUCAUUCCAACCUUCUCUUCCUGGUAGACCAGUGGGUUUCAUAUAUGCUCAUUGUCCAUCCAACACUCUGAUGAAAGUCCCAGAAGCAACACAGCUACAGCAGACCUGCUCGGGAGAACUGUCCGUCUUGUCCCCACAGUCAUUUGGAAACUGACUCUGGGUCUAUCCAUGGAAUGAGUAUCUCCAGCCUUGCUGCUGGAAGUCACAGCCGGUGACCCAGAGUGCUGGCUCCCUAACCUUCCACUCUCGUCCAGGCCAGCACCUCAGACACCACGUCCAGAUUCACGUCAAAUAAGGACUUCUGGUGGACGUUCAUCCUGGGGGACCAGCUUGCCUGCCUAGGGAAGACCUACUCUCUGCUGCUUCCUCUGUAAGAAAACCCACGUGCGGGUCAGUUUGGGCUGUAGUGUUCUCAGGGAAGUUGAGCCCUUCCCUCGAGCCCAAGGGAUAACCAUGUCAGCCUAAACCAAAAAGGGUAAUCCCGUUGCUCUUUCCAGUGAUUGAUUUAGGGGAGAAAUGUAAAAUUUCUGGUGUAUGGGACCAAGACAUACGCUAGGCCCUUCUGUAAAUUUAUCUCCCUGAUAAUAAAAGGUAUAUGCUCGAGGAGAACCCUUCUGCCCACCUCUUGCCUUUGAAUGUGAUUUUGGGAAGACAUGAUAAUGAUACGUGUGGCGAUCAUAUUGUGACCUUAAGGCGAUAACCGAGGGAGGCUGACUUCAGCCAGGCUCACUGAAUUAACUGACUCUGCAAUUAUUUAACUCCAGAUUUCUUGUCAUGUACAAUUGUAUAAUGUCUUUAUUAUUUCAACAACUGUUUGUUGGAUUUUUGGUUCUGUCUUUACAACCGAGAGCAUUGUAACUGGUAACCCCCUCAACAACAUGCAAGAGCUCCCCAAUGAUUAAUGAAUCAAAUAUAAACUCUUUGCCCUAAUGUUCAUUGCCACUUGAUUCGUACGGCCCGAGUCUAAUUUUCUGGAGUCACCUGGUGCUGCACUGGACAGUUACCCUUCUUGCAAGCCAGACAGACACACUGCCAUCUCCUGACACACAUGCGUGCUCACGGCUUCACUCAGCACGUGUUCCUCACACGCUCAGCCUUCAGCUGUCAGUUCUCAAUCGCGUCCUCAUGCCUCAUCUCAACCCCCUUGCGUUUUCUUUGUAACCUUCUCCUGGAAUUUCUCCCAACUUGCUGUACUGCAGUCACUAACGUGCAUGCCUCGUCUCCCUCAACUGUAAGAUCCUCAAGAGCACAGAGGAAGUCUUACCCACCCACAUGCUCUGUGGUGCACGCAGCACAGUGCCCAGACACAAGAGGAACUCAGUAAAUGUUUGCUCAGCUAAAAUAAACCCUGAUUUGAUCUGG